rnacentral:rRNA from 1 species
AGCAGCCGCGGUAAUUCCAGCUCCAAUAGCGUAUAUUAAAGUUGUUGCAGUUAAAAAGCUCGUAGUUGAACUUCGGGAUCAAUGGGUCGGUCAUGCCAACAGGUUUGAACGGGCCAUAUKGGUUCUCACCUUCUAAKGAACCAUAAKGUCAUUUAUUUGAUGUUAUGGGGAAUUAGGACKGUUACCUUGAAAAAAUUARAGUGUUUAAAGCAGGCUUUCGCUUGAAUACAUUAGCAUGGAAUAAUGAAAUAGGACAUCGCAUUCUAUUUUGUUGGUUUCUAGGAUCGAUGUAAUGAUUAAUAGGGAUAGUUGGGGGCAUUAGUAUUCAAUUGUCAGAGGUGAAAUUCUUGGAUUUAUUGAAGACUAACUACUGCGAAAGCAUUUGCCAAGGAUGUUUUCAUUAAUCAAGAACGAAAGUUAGGGGAUCGAAGACGAUCAGAUACCGUCGUAGUCUUAACCAUAAACUAUGCCGACUAGGGAUCGGAUGAUGUUGAUUUUAUAAUGACUCA